AUUGAACGCUGGCGGCAUGCUUUACACAUGCAAGUCGAACGGCAGCGGGGGCUUCGGCCUGCCGGCGAGUGGCGAACGGGUGAGUAAUGCAUCGGAACGUGCCCAUGUCGUGGGGGAUAACGUAUCGAAAGGUACGCUAAUACCGCAUACGUCCUGAGGGAGAAAGCGGGGGACCGUAAGGCCUCGCGCGAUUGGAGCGGCCGAUGUCGGAUUAGCUAGUUGGUGAGGUAAAGGCUCACCAAGGCGACGAUCCGUAGCGGGUCUGAGAGGAUGAUCCGCCACACUGGGACUGAGACACGGCCCAGACUCCUACGGGAGGCAGCAGUGGGGAAUUUUGGACAAUGGGGGCAACCCUGAUCCAGCCAUGCCGCGUGAGUGAAGAAGGCCUUCGG
rnacentral:rRNA from 1 species